rnacentral:rRNA from 1 species
GACGAACGCUGGCGGCGUGCCUAAUACAUGCAAGUCGAACGCAGUGGGGACGGGUGAGUAACACGUGGCUAACCUCCCAUCAGAGGGGAUAAAACUUGGAAAAAGGUGCUAAAACCGAUACUGAUGGAGGGACCCGCGGUGCAUUAGCUAGUUGGUGAGGUAACGGCUCACCAGGGCCCAGAUGCAAAGCCGACCUGAGGGGGUGAUCGGCCACACUGGGGCUGGGACACGGCCCAGACUCCUACGGGAGGCAGCAGUAGGGAAGCUUCGGCAAUGAACGCAAGUCUGACCGAGCAACGCCGCGUGAGUGAGGAGUGUUUUCGGAUCUUAAAACUCUGUUGUUGGAGAAGCGGUAUCUAACCAGAAAGCCACGGCUAACUACGUGCCAGCAGCCGCGGUAAUAC